rnacentral:rRNA from 1 species
GACGAACGCUGGCGGCGUGCUUAACACAUGCAAGUCGAACGGAAAGGCCCUGCUUUUGUGGGGUGCUCGAGUGGCGAACGGGUGAGUAACACGUGAGUAACCUGCCCUUGACUUUGGGAUAACUUCAGGAAACUGGGGCUAAUACCGGAUAGGAGCUCCUGCUGCAUGGUGGGGGUUGGAAAGUUUCGGCGGUUGGGGAUGGACUCGCGGCUUAUCAGCUUGUUGGUGGGGUAGUGGCUUACCAAGGCUUUGACGGGUAGCCGGCCUGAGAGGGCGACCGGCCACAUUGGGACUGAGAUACGGCCCAGACUCCUACGGUAGGCAGCAGUGGGGAAUAUUGCACAAUGGGCGGAAGCCUGAUGCAGCAACGCCGCGUGCGGGAUGACGGCCUUCGGGUUGUAAACCGCUUUCGCCUGUGACGAAGCGUGAGUGACGGUAAUGGGUAAAGAAGCACCGGCUAACUACGUG